rnacentral:rRNA from 1 species
GAUGAACGCUGGCGGCGUGCCUAAUACAUGCAAGUCGAGCGAACGGACGAGAAGCUUGCUUCUCUGAUGUUAGCGGCGGACGGGUGAGUAACACGUGGAUAACCUACCUAUAAGACUGGGAUAACUUCGGGAAACCGGAGCUAAUACCGUAUAAUAUUUUGAACCGCAUGGUUCAAAAGUGAAAGACGGUCUUGCUGUCCCUUAUAGAUGGAUCCGCGCUGCAUUAGCUAGUUGGUAAGGUAACGGCUUACCAAGGCAACGAUGCAUAGCCGACCUGAGAGGGUGAUCGGCCACACUGGAACUGAGACACGGUCCAGACUCCUACGGGAGGCAGCAGUAGGGAAUCUUCCGCAAUGGGCGAAAGCCUGACGGAGCAACGCCGCGUGAGUGAUGAAGGUCUUCGGAUCGUAAAACUCUGUUAUUAGGGAAGAACAUAUGUGUAAGUAACUGUGCACAUCUUGACGGUACCUAAUCAGAAAGCCACGGCUAACUACGUG